GAUGAACGCUGGCGGCGUGCCUAAUACAUGCAAGUCGAGCGAACAGACGAGGAGCUUGCUCCUCUGACGUUAGCGGCGGACGGGUGGGUAACACGUGGAUAACCUACCUAUAAGACUGGGAUAACUUCGGGAAACCGGAGCUAAUACCGGAUAAUAUAUUGAACCGCAUGGUUCAAUAGUGAAAGACGGUUUUGCUGUCACUUAUAGAUGGAUCCGCGCCGCAUUAGCUAGUUGGUAAGGUAACGGCUUACCAAGGCAACGAUGCGUAGCCGACCUGAGAGGGUGAUCGGCCACACUGGAACUGAGACACGGUCCAGACUCCUACGGGAGGCAGCAGUAGGGAAUCUUCCGCAAUGGGCGAAAGCCUGACGGAGCAACGCCGCGUGAGUGACGAAGGUCUUCGGAUCGUAAAACUCUGUUAUUAGGGAAGAACAAAUGUGUAAGUAACUAUGCACGUCUUGACGGUACCUAAUCAGAAAGCCACGGCUAACUACGUG
rnacentral:rRNA from 1 species